UUUUAUGAGAGUUUGAUCCUGGCUCAGGACGAACGCUGGCGGCGUGCCUAAUACAUGCAAGUCGAACGCUUCUUUUUCCACCGGAGCUUGCUCCACCGGAAAAAGAGGAGUGGCGAACGGGUGAGUAACACGUGGGUAACCUGCCCAUCAGAAGGGGAUAACACUUGGAAACAGGUGCUAAUACCGUAUAACAAUCGAAACCGCAUGGUUUUGAUUUGAAAGGCGCUUUCGGGUGUCGCUGAUGGAUGGACCCGCGGUGCAUUAGCUAGUUGGUGAGGUAACGGCUCACCAAGGCCACGAUGCAUAGCCGACCUGAGAGGGUGAUCGGCCACAUUGGGACUGAGACACGGCCCAAACUCCUACGGGAGGCAGCAGUAGGGAAUCUUCGGCAAUGGACGAAAGUCUGACCGAGCAACGCCGCGUGAGUGAAGAAGGUUUUCGGAUCGUAAAACUCUGUUGUUAGAGAAGAACAAGGAUGAGAGUAACUGUUCAUCCCUUGACGGUAUCUAACCAGAAAGCCACGGCUAACUACGUGCCAGCAGCCGCGGUAAUACGUAGGUGGCAAGCGUUGUCCGGAUUUAUUGGGCGUAAAGCGAGCGCAGGCGGUUUCUUAAGUCUGAUGUGAAAGCCCCCGGCUCAACCGGGGAGGGUCAUUGGAAACUGGGAGACUUGAGUGCAGAAGAGGAGAGUGGAAUUCCAUGUGUAGCGGUGAAAUGCGUAGAUAUAUGGAGGAACACCAGUGGCGAAGGCGGCUCUCUGGUCUGUAACUGACGCUGAGGCUCGAAAGCGUGGGGAGCAAACAGGAUUAGAUACCCUGGUAGUCCACGCCGUAAACGAUGAGUGCUAAGUGUUGGAGGGUUUCCGCCCUUCAGUGCUGCAGCUAACGCAUUAAGCACUCCGCCUGGGGAGUACGACCGCAAGGUUGAAACUCAAAGGAAUUGACGGGGGCCCGCACAAGCGGUGGAGCAUGUGGUUUAAUUCGAAGCAACGCGAAGAACCUUACCAGGUCUUGACAUCCUUUGACCACUCUAGAGAUAGAGCUUCCCCUUCGGGGGCAAAGUGACAGGUGGUGCAUGGUUGUCGUCAGCUCGUGUCGUGAGAUGUUGGGUUAAGUCCCGCAACGAGCGCAACCCUUAUUGUUAGUUGCCAUCAUUCAGUUGGGCACUCUAGCAAGACUGCCGGUGACAAACCGGAGGAAGGUGGGGAUGACGUCA
rnacentral:rRNA from 1 species